GAGCUUAAUGAGCUAAAGGUAAAGUUCUCUCAAUCAGAUGACAGAAGGUAUUCAUUAGAUUGUGUACAAAUGGUUUUGCAGCCGUUUUGUUCAUGUUGAUGAUCUAGAGGCCUAUCGGAUAUGAUACAGUGGGCUUUAUAGGGUUAAGUAUUCAGAGAUGUCACAUAGCAGUGGCUGUAGUAGAGAAAAGCGUCUCUGCGGAGGAGAGAAAUGAAUUAAUGUGUCUUGCUUCAGCGCUGUCACAGCCAGCCAUCUAGAGAAUCCAGUGUAAAUAUUCCCUCUGUCACAUUAAACUGUCUAAUUGCGUUUCUCAGCCACUCCAAGACACUCUGGAUCUCCGACGGUGCUGAAACAUGGCCAAAUUCAUUUAUGGCAAUCAACAGACUGAACGUGUGCUUGUCCUGCGGUGGUCUAUUCCUGGAAUGAGAAAUGUAGUGUGUUUCUGAUGCACGGACAGCUUGUUAGAGCUGCAAACAUCACUAGCACUAAUACUCAUCAUUAACCUACAGCCCCAAAUGUUUCCGAUACUGUUUGUGCUACAAAAAGCAUGCAUUUUUCACAUUCAGAUCGAUAGUGGGUUCAUGGCAAUCGUCAACUGUCUAUUGACCCUCCAGUCUUCAGGUGAGCAAUUGAACUGCUUCUCUAAAGGGUCCGCCAAACAAAACACCUCUCACUUUGUGUUCUUUCUUCAACCACCCUAGAAAUUGAUUGCAUUGUGCAGAGUGCCCUCCACAUAUAAUCAAAAGGAAGGUGGCCAGCUGCGAUGGGAAGCUGUGCCUUUGAGAUGGAGUGCCUUCAUGAAGUGUAGAGAACCGAAGCGUUUCAGCAGAAGAUGCAUGCUGCUUCCACGAGGGGAUGUGUGAAUUGCAAAGAGUGAGGAAGGUGUUUACUUGGAAAGAACCCCACAGAGACAGACGCAGCCAAGCUUCCCGUGAGAGAAAGCGCCAAGGUGCUAAUCAACCCAGGCAGAAGGAAGAUUGUUUGGAGCUCACAGAGUUUGGCAGCGAAAGCCAAUGACCAGAAAAAUCCUCUCUACACUCCAGCGGUCACUUCGACUGCAGUCGGACACCAGGAAGUGGAGAGGUCGUGGACAGAGUAGCACCCCGUCACUGGAAUGAUUGCUCUCUCUGAGGAGAAGGUGGCUCUUCUUCUCUGUCAGCGUGUAAAUGUCCUCUGCAUGAUGAAACGACUGAGAAAUUCCCGAGUUUCUGCAGUUCUCCAUCUCGUCUGAUGAUCAAACCCGUGGAUGAGGAGAUGGUGAGGAUCAUCAGCGGUGCUGGUCAAACAUAGCCGCUCUGUUGGUUCAUUCACUUGAAAAGACUUGAAGUUCAGUCUUUCAUCAGUGCACCACUCCCAGCAAGGGGAACUAACAUGUUUUCACGGUUACUUGGGCUGAAUACAUGGCUACAAAGAACCUGCAGUAUAAAAGGAGUCAACUUCACCAACAACUUCAAUCUUUUCUGGGGCCAUAGAGAACUUUUUAAACUGGAUGGACUCAACCCAAACAAACUUUUGCUAAAGGAAAUAUCUAUUUCUCCCUCUGUUAUCAUUGUGUGCCAUUCCACUCAACCCUGAAUGGCACACACACCUGGACAGAGUAUGAGUGACCACAGGACUUAAACAGUAACUUAUUCAACACUUAGACUCUUUUUGCUACUGUUGAGCGACUGAAAAAAAAGUCAGAUUCCCAGAUCUCAGAAAAGACUUUUCCAAACACCCUGAAAACUGCAGUUGUUCAUUUCCCUUCUGAAUAAGAAAAAUCUUGAUAACACCAUAUCGAGCAACUAUAGAACAAUAUAAAGUCUUCCUUUUAUAGGCAAGAUUAUUGAAAAGAUAGAUUUUUGAACAACUACUUCAACCCAAAUAGAUACCAAGACAAUUUUCAAUCUGUUUUCCGACCGCAUCAAAGCAUUAGAGAU